rnacentral:tRNA from 1 species
GAGACCGUGCCUGAGUACCGAAGGACCACUUUGAUAGAGUGAUUUACAGGGGUUACAAUCCCCUCGGUCUCU